GCGUGAGUGACGAAGGCCUUAGGGUUGUAAAGCUCUUUUGCCGGGGACGAUAAUGACGGUACCCGGAGAAUAAGUCCCGGCUAACUUCGUGCCAGCAGCCGCGGUAAUACGAAGGGGACUAGCGUUGUUCGGAAUUACUGGGCGUAAAGCGCACGUAGGCGGAUUUGUCAGUCAGGGGUGAAAUCCCGGGGCUCAACCUCGGAACUGCCUUUGAUACAGCAAGUCUCGAGUCCGAUAGAGGUGGGUGGAAUUCCUAGUGUAGAGGUGAAAUUCGU
rnacentral:rRNA from 1 species